GACGAACGCUGGCGGCAUGCCUAAUACAUGCAAGUCGAGCGAAUAGAUGAAGUGCUUGCACUUCUGACGUUAGCGGCGAACGGGUGAGUAACACGUAAGGAAUCUACCUAUAAGCGGGGGAUAACAUUCGGAAACGGGUGCUAAUACCGCAUAAUAUCUUCUUCCGCAUGGAAGAAGAUUGAAAGACGGCUCUGCUGUCACUUAUAGAUGACCUUACGGUGCAUUAGUUAGUUGGUGGGGUAAUGGCCUACCAAGACGAUGAUGCAUAGCCGACCUGGGAGGGUGAUCGGCCACAUUGGGACUGAGACACGGCCCAAACUCCUACGGGAGGCAGCAGUAGGGAAUCUUCCGCAAUGGGCGAAAGCCUGACGGAGCAAUGCCGCGUGAGUGAAGAAGGCCUUCGGGUCGUAAAACUCUGUUAUAAGAGAAGAACAAAUUGUAGAGUAACUGCUACAGUCUUGACGGUAUCUUAUCAGAAAGCCACGGCUAACUACGUGCCAGCAGCCGCCGUAA
rnacentral:rRNA from 1 species